UAAAUAAGUAAUUAUUAAAAAUUUAAAGUAAUUAUUAAAAAUCUUAAUGUGGUCUCAUACAUUUUUUACAUACUCUUAAGUUUCUCCAAUUCCUAAUAAAACCUCCUUGGCACUUAAUAUGUAAUUAUGUGAUUUUUUUAAAGGAAGAAAAAAACAUCUUGGUUUACUCGGUGGUAAGUAAUUUUUCUUAUUAACUCCAGUCUGAAUACUACAAAAUAUGCAUUGCAAAACUAGAAUAUAUAAUCCAUGUAAAAUAUUAACAAUUUUAAAUAAAUUUUUUUAUUUAUUUAAUUUUCUAUUUCAUUCAGUUAAAACAUUUUAGAACAAUUUAUGAUUUCGUGGAA